rnacentral:rRNA from 1 species
CCUACGGGUGGCAGCAGUGGGGAAUAUUGGGCAAUGGGCGCAAGCCUGACCCAGCAAGGCCGCGUGAAGGAAGAAGGCUUUCGGGUUGUAAACUUCUUUUAAGAGGGAAGAGCAGAAGACGGUACCUCUUGAAUAAGCCACGGCUAACUACGUGCCAGCAGCCGCGGUAAUACGGAGGAUGCGAGCGUUAUCCGGAUUUAUUGGGUUUAAAGGGUGCGCAGGCGGGAGAUCAAGUCAGCGGUAAAAUGUCGGGGCUCAACCCCGGCCGGCCGUUGAAACUGGUUUUCUAGAGUUGGAGAGAAGUAUGCGGAAUUCGUGGUGUAGCGGUGAAAUGCAUAGAUAUCACGAAGAACUCCGAUUGCGAAGGCAGCAUACCGGCUCCAUACUGACGCUGAGGCACGAAAGCGUGGGGAUCGAACAGGAUUAGAUACCCCUGUAGUC